UAAUUAUAUUUGUUGUUAAUUCCAUUCUCCU
rnacentral:piRNA from 1 species